AGAGUUUGAUCCUGGCUCAGGACGAACGCUGGCGGCGGGCUUCAUACAUGCAAGUCGAACGAGAAAGCAUCCUUCGGGGUGCAAGUACAGUGGCGCACGGGUGAGUAACGCGUAGGCAACCUACCCUCGAGUGGGGAAUAACCAUCGGAAACGGUGGCUAAUACCGCAUGCUGUCGUGCAUCGCAUGGUGCACGAUGAAAGUCUUCGGAUGCUCGGGGAUGGGCCUGCGUCGGAUUAGUUUGUAGGUAGGGUAACGGCCUACCUAGGCAACGAUCCGUAGCUGGUCUGAGAGGACGAUCAGCCACACGGGCACUGAGACACGGGCCAGACUUCUACGGAAGGCAGCAGUAGGGAAUAUUGGGCAAUGGGCGCAAGCCUGACCCAGCCACGCCGCGUGGAGGAAGACACCCCUAUGGGGCGUAAACUCCUUUUAUACGGGAAGAACCCCUCCCUCAGGGAGCCUGACGGUACCGUAUGAAUAAGCACCGGCUAACUCCGUGCCAGCAGCCGCGGUAAUACGGAGGGUGC
rnacentral:rRNA from 1 species